rnacentral:rRNA from 1 species
CCCUUAGAUGUCCUGGGCCGCACGCGUGCUACACUGAUGCAUACAGCGAGUACUUUCCAGCUCCGCGAGGCAGCUGGUAAUCAGCAAUAUGCAUCGUGCUGGGGAUAGAUCUUUGGAAUUAUAGAUCUUGAACGAGGAAUUCCUAGUAAGCGCAAGUCAUUAGCUUGCGCCGAUUAAGUCCCUGCCCUUUGUACACACCGCCCGUCGCUCCUACCGAUUUCGAGUGAUUCGGUGAACCUUUUGGACAGCGUCUGUCCUCGUGUCAGAUGCUGAAAGUCAAGUAAACCAUAUCACUUAGAGGAAGGAGAAGUCGUAACA